rnacentral:rRNA from 1 species
CCCUCACAAACCCCCCGUGCCCCCCGCCCCCGCUCCGGGGCGCGUCCCCGGGCGGGGCGGGGGCACGGGGGUUGGAGGGCAAGUCUGGUGCCAGCAGCCGCGGUAAUUCCAGCUCCAAUAGCGUAUAUUAAAGUUGUUGCAGUUAAAAAGCUCGUAGUUGAAUUUCGGGGUCAGUAGGUCGGUCAUGCCACUGGUAUGUACUGGUCUCACUGAUUCCUCCUUCCUGAUGAACCGUAAUG